CCCUUACCAUGCAUUUGUUAUUAGCCAGAAAGCCAGCCCCUCUCUCCCCCUCUCCCUCUCCCGCUUUUCCCCUCUCUUCUUCUCUCCUGUUCCUGGGGUGAUACCUUAGGAACUGUGCAUGGGCAAAGCAAUCAGUGACAACAGUAGUUUCAGGUAAUAAUGACCUUUGUUCUUGGGGAAUGCAAAACUGAAAAACAUCUCAUGAUGAGGUAGGCGAUUUAAAUAAGAUGUGCACCAUCUGGUCACGGACACCCAGCUUUAAGAAGGUGCCUACCAAUCCAGGAUCACCCUCCUCCUGUAUAAACGGCAGAUAACAGCUUCCAGGGAAAGGGAAUGACAGAGAAGCAGCUGCCUCUGGAAAACUGGAUAAAGCAAGAGGACACUAUGUUGUGCGCUAGGCAGACUGAAUCUUUUGAAACUCCGUAAUUUAAGGGCAACAUAACAGCAAGUUCACAGGUAAACACAAUACCACCCACGGAAAGAAACUGCCUCAGAGUCUCAGGCCUGGAGCUCAGGAGUCGCUAGUUUUAGAGGAGGUUUGGACGCUGGGCAGUGAAUGCGGACGCCCAGGGCAAGUGGCGCAGCUGCUCUUGCUCACCACCCCGCUGAGCAGGCCGAGUCGCUGCGGAGGCGCCCUGGUGCACCGCGCCCGCGCCCGCGCCCGCGCCCGGCCCAAGCAGGAAGCACAAGCCAUGCAGGACCAACUGAAACCAACUGAAGCCGCAGCCAGGGUCUCCGAGGUGAGGAGGAGACAUUAAAGACUGCAGUUGCUUUGUAAACUUGAAUGGCACUGAAGUUUCAGCAAUAAUGGGGAGCGAAAUGGAGGAGUCAGCACGAACAGAUUCAUGAACUUUGUGUUAAAAAAAAAAAAAAAAAGAUGUGUGCUAUGCCAACAAAUAAGAAGGGAUACUGGCAGGAGAUGGUUGGGAAUGGCUGUUGGACAGAUAAACCGCUGACCUUCAACUCACUAUGAAGCACAGGCUGGCCUCGAACUCAUGGUGCUCCUCCUGCCUCAACCUCCUUGGUGCUGGGAUUACAGGUGUGCACCAUUACACCUGGCUGCAUGAUAACAUCUCUCGUGCACCCGGGCCAGGGAACGCUGACCCCCGCAGGCCGAGUGCCAGGCCUCUGCUCUCUUCCCGGAGCAGAAGGACCCAGUGUCUCUUCCUCCCGGGCAGGGAUGCA
rnacentral:lncRNA from 1 species